rnacentral:lncRNA from 7 species
AUUGUUUGCAGCCAGGUCCAUUCUGCAUGGAGUGCUCUCCCAGGGGAAUUGGGACAGGUCCCAGAAGUCAUGACAUCAUCUGAAACUGGCUACCUCCCUGGAAUCUUGUCUGGAUAUUCUUCUGCACUGCCCCUGGGGAGGCUGUAGCACAGUAGUUCUGUUUAAGGGUGCGAGUUGCUUUAGAUGCAACAGCAACUGGAUUAAGAUCCCAGGGAGAUGCUCAGCGUUACUGCAAUGCUAAGAGAUCGUGUGUGGGCAUCAGAGAGCAUAGGAUCCAUGACAGCUUCGGGAUUUAGGAGAACUGGCUGGCAAGGCUGAGGAAUGCUCAACCUUAAAACUGAAUUAACAUCACAUUCUCUACUUCAAAGUGAAGAAAAGGGUAUUUGUUAUUGGUCAUAUCGCUGAAUGUACCUAUAAUCAGGUGAAAUUUGUAUACUGGCCUUCAGCUUUUCUUCCUAACUAUUGAUUCACCCUUGAAAACUAGCUUGAGACUAUAGACCACAGAGAAUCCCAUUCCAAGUUAAUGAUGUGGAUUUCCGUCAUUAAUUUUAGUGUCAGAAGGCUUCAUCCAUUUGCUUGUAUUGAUUUGCUAAUGAGAACACUUCUGUAUUCUCCUGUGUUACUUGUGUACAUUGGCAACGCUCGUGACCCUGACUGAUCUGGAGAUGAUAACUAUUCUCAACAGGAUUUUUUAUAAUUCAUUACAAGUUUGUGUGAAAUUUUUUUUUUCCUAAAGAAUCACUGUUUUCUGAGCUUUGCCUUCUAAUAAUUAAGAAGUGAAGCUGAAAGAAAAUAUGGAAUAAUUUACAGAUCAUCAGUUUUACAAUUAGAAAAGUACAGCUUCUUUGACAAGCUGUAUUUGUCAGCAAGACAAAGCACCUCAAAAAUACAUUUUAUGCACAGAAAUAAGCUCUUGUCUUUUCUUCUUGUCACCUAUGGGAAAACAUUCUGUAAUAGUCUUUGACAUCCUUUAAAAUUAAGUUGCCUUGACUGAAAUGCCUGUAUGAGAAGUGAAGAAAUCUUUUAGGUAGUGAGUUAUAAGCUUUGUUUUCUUACAGAGAGGAUUGUGCAAAAGUUUGUAAAAGUUGAGGCAUGUAUAUAUAAAGAAAAUACAUGUUUU